CCUACGGGUGGCAGCAGUCGAGAAUCAUUCACAAUGGGGGAAACCCUGAUGGUGCGACGCCGCGUGGGGGAAUGAAGGUCUUCGGAUUGUAAACCCCUGUCAUGUGGGAGCAAAUUAAAAAGAUAGUACCACACGAGGAAGAGACUGCUAACUCUGUGCCAGCAGCCGCGGUAAUACAGAGGUCUCAAGCGUUGUUCGGAAUCACUGGGCGUAAAGCGUGCGUAGGCUGUUUCGUAAGUCGUGUGUGAAAGGCGCGGGCUCAACCCGCGGACGGCACAUGAUACUGCGAGACUAGAGUAAUGGAGGGGGAACCGGAAUUCGCGGUGUAGCAGUGAAAUGCGUAGAGAUCGAGAGGAACACUCGUGGCGAAGGCGGGUUCCUGGACAUUAACUGACGCUGAGGCACGAAGGCCAGGGGAGCGAAAGGGAUUAGAUACCCUAGUAGUC
rnacentral:rRNA from 1 species